rnacentral:rRNA from 1 species
AUCCGGUGCGAGGACAGUGUCAGGUGGGCAGUUUGACUGGGGCGGUCGCCUCCUAAAGAGUAACGGAGGCGCCCCAAGGUUCCCUCAGAAUGGUUGGAAAUCAUUCGAAGAGUGCAAAGGCAGAAGGGAGCUUGACUGCGAGACCUACAAGUCGAGCAGGGACGAAAGUCGGGCUUAGUGAUCCGGUGGUACCGCAUGGAAGGGCCAUCGCUCAACGGAUAAAAGCUACCCUGGGGAUAACAGGCUUAUCUCCCCCAAGAGUCCACAUCGACGGGGAGGUUUGGCACCUCGAUGUCGGCUCAUCGCAUCCUGGGGCUGAAGUAGGUCCCAAGGGUUGGGCUGUUCGCCCAUUAAAGCGGUACGCGAGCUGGGUUCAGAACGUCGUGAGACAGUUCGGUCCCUAUCUGUCGUGGGCGUAGGAAAUUUGAGAGGAGCUGUCCUUAGUACGAGAGGACCGGGAUGGACGUACCGCUGGUGUACCAGUUGUUCCGCCAGGAGCACCGCUGGGUAGCUAUGUACGGAAGGGAUAAGCGCUGAAAGCAUCUAAGCGUGAAGCCCCCCUCAAGAUGAGAUUUCCCA